GACGAACGCUGGCGGCGUGCUUAACACAUGCAAGUCGAACGGAAAGGCCCUGCUUUUGUGGGGUGCUCGAGUGGCGAACGGGUGAGUGACACGUGAGUAACCUGCCCUUGACUUUGGGAUAACUUCAGGAAACUGGGGCUAAUACCGGAUAGGAGCUCCUGCUGCAUGGUGGGGGUUGGAAAGUUUCGGCGGUUGGGGAUGGACUCGCGGCUUAUCAGCUUGUUGGUGGGGUAGUGGCUUACCAAGGCUUUGACGGGUAGCCGGCCUGAGAGGGUGACCGGCCACAUUGGGACUGAGAUACGGCCCAGACUCCUACGGGAGGCAGCAGUGGGGAAUAUUGCACAAUGGGCGGAAACCUGAUGCAGCAACGCCGCGUGCGGGAUGACGGCCUUCGGGUUGUAAACCGCUUUCGCCUGUGACGAAGCGUGAGUGACGGUAAUGGGUAAAGAAGCACCGGCUAACUACGUG
rnacentral:rRNA from 1 species